GGUUCCACGGUCCCUUACUAGUAAAGGCUCCCACAGCCAGGGGGUUUGACUAGAAGCAGCCACCCUUGAAAGAGUGCGUAAUAGCUCACUGAUCGAGCGCUCUUGCGCCGAAGAGGAACGGGGCUAAGCGAUUUGCCGAA
rnacentral:ncRNA from 1 species